rnacentral:misc_RNA from 1 species
GGAUACAGAAAAUCCUAAGGUUUACAGUUAAACCGAGACUGCUUUCGCAGUGGCAGAUGGUUAAGCACUUCCUAUGGUAUUCAAUGAAGAUUGCAAAAUCCUAAACUGGUUGAAAUUACAUAACAAAAAAUGCAAGGUCAAAUUAAAGCAUAUAAUACCACAUGCAGGUACUAUCCCUUGCACAAAAAAUCUAAGGUUUACAGCUAAACUGUGACUGCAAUGGCAGUAGCAAACAGUUUAGAAAUUCCAAUGGUAUUCAACAAGCCACUACAAAAUACACGAUUUUUCUGAUUUUAUGAAAAAAAACUGGGGAAAAACAUAUUAUAUCAAGAUUUAGGCCAAGAUGUUCCUAUUAAAGAACUAACCUAUUCUAUGCAAAGGUUUAAAAAAAUCUGAGUAUAAAAUUAUAGAUUCAGAUUAUCUAGUAGACCUGACAACCUAAACGUCAUUUGUCUUUAAUGUGUAGAUCCAAAGAGAACUAAACUGAAAGCUCCAAAACCAUGUCAGUAUGUGAACUACUAUUUUAACAG